AGGGGAUAGCCCAGAGAAAUUUGGAUUAAUACCCCAUGGUAUAAUUGAAUGGCAUCAUUUAAUUAUUAAAGUCACAACGGUAAAAGAUGAGCAUGCGUCCCAUUAGCUAGUUGGUAAGGUAACGGCUUACCAAGGCAACGAUGGGUAGGGGUCCUGAGAGGGAGAUCCCCCACACUGGUACUGAGACACGGACCAG
rnacentral:rRNA from 1 species